UACGGGGGGAGCAAGCGUUGUUCGGAUUUACUGGGCGUAAAGGGCGCGUAGGCGGUCGUGACAAGUCACUUGUGAAAAUCUCCCGGGCUUAACUCGGAACGGUCAAGUGAUACUGUCGGACUAGAGGUACAGAAGGGGCAACUGGAAUUCUCGGUGUAGCGGUGAAAUGCGUAGAUAUCGAGAGGAACACCUGCGGCGAAGGCGGGUUGCUGGGCUGACACUGACGCUGAGGCGCGAAAGCUAGGGGAGCGAACGGG
rnacentral:rRNA from 1 species